rnacentral:rRNA from 1 species
ACGCUCGACACCUACGGGAGCAGCAGUGGGGAAUAUUGCACAAUGGGGGAAACCCUGAUGCAGCGAUGCCGCGUGAAGGAAGAAGUAUCUCGGUAUGUAAACUUCUAUCAGCAGGGAAGAAAAUGACGGUACCUGACUAAGAAGCCCCGGCUAACUACGUGCCGGCAGUCGCGGUAAUCUGAGCGGGCUGGCAAGGC